AUACGGAGGAUCCGAGCGUUAUCCGGAUUUAUUGGGUUUAAAGGGUGCGCAGGCGGGAGAUUAAGUCGGCAGUGAAAUUUUGCAGCUCAACUGUAAAAGUGCCUUCGAAACUGGUUUCCUUGAGUGUAGAUGAAGUAGGCGGAAUUUGUGGUGUAGCGGUGAAAUGCAUAGAUAUCACGAGGAACUCCGAUUGCGCAGGCAGCUUACUAAACUACUACUGACGCUCAGGCACGAAGGCGUGGGGAUCAAACAGGAUUAGAUACCCUGGUAGUCCACGCAGUAAACGAUGAUUACUAGCUGUUUGCGAUACAAUGUAAGCGGCUGAGCGAAAGCGUUAAGUAAUCCACCUGGGGAGUACGUUCGCAAGAAUGAAACUCAAAUGAAUUGACGGGG
rnacentral:rRNA from 1 species